rnacentral:rRNA from 1 species
GCCUACCGUGGCGAUGACGGGUAACGGGGAAUUAGCGGUUCGCAUUCCUGCGAGAGGGAGACCUGAGAAACGGCUACCACAUCUAAGGAAGGCAGCAGGCGCGCAAAUUACCCAAUCCUAAUACAGGGAGGUAGUGACAAGAAAUAACAAUACAGGACUUUUUGGUUUUGUAAUUGGAAUGAGUUAAGUAUAAACCCCUUUACAAGUAUCAAUUGGAGGGCAAGUCUGG